CAUAUAAACCCAACUUUAUAAAGAACCAGUCAGGAGUAACAGAGGCUUGUCACCCAGUGAUGAGUGGGUUAUUCUUUCCUCUCUCUGCCAAAGAGCUCCCUCUAACUAUCAGAUAUGGAAUGAGGAGAGGGACAAAUGUACAGUUAUUACACAGGAGUGAAAAAUUCUGGAUGAAAUGAAACCCAGGAGGAAACAAUAAAGGAGCAGCUGCUACAGGCAGUGAUAUGGACAUCAAACAGAGCAGGAG